rnacentral:rRNA from 1 species
UAGGGAAUCUUCGGCAAUGGGGGGAACCCUGACCGAGCAACGCCGCGUGAGUGAAGAAGGUUUUCGGAUCGUAAAGCUCUGUUGUUAAGGAAGAACGAGUGUGAGAAUGGAAAGUUCAUGCUGUGACGGUACUUAACCAGAAAGGGACGGCUAACUACGUGCCAGCAGCCGCGGUAAUACGUAGGUCCCGAGCGUUGUCCGGAUUUAUUGGGCGUAAAGUGAGCGCAGGCGGUUAGAAAAGUCUGAAGUGAAAGGCAGUGGCUCAACCAUUGUAGGCUUUGGAAACUGUUUAACUUGAGUGCAGAAGGGGAGAGUGGAAUUCCAUGUGUAGCGGUGAAAUGCGUAGAUAUAUGGAGGAACACCGGUGGCGAAAGCGGCUCUCUGGUCUGUAACUGACGCUGAGGCUCGAAAGCGUGGGGAGCGAACAGG